GCCCGGGUAGCUCAACGGUAGAGCAGUGGCCUUAUAAGCCAACCGGUCCCUUCGGGACCGCUGCGCCAGAUUAGCGACAGGUUGCCGGUUCGAAUCCGGCCCCGGGUACCA
rnacentral:tRNA from 1 species